rnacentral:rRNA from 1 species
UACAGAGGUCUCAAGCGUUGUUCGGAUUCAUUGGGCGUAAAGGGUGCGUAGGUGGCGCCGUAAGUCAGGUGUGAAAUUUCGGAGCUUAACUCCGAAACUGCAUUUGAUACUGCGGUGCUUGAGGACUGGAGAGGAGACUGGAAUUUACGGUGUAGCAGUGAAAUGCGUAGAGAUCGUAAGGAAGACCAGUGGCGAAGGCGGGUCUCUGGGCCAUUACUGACACUGAGAAGCGAAAGCAUGGGGAGCGAACAGG